UGCCCGGUCGUCUAAUGGUAGGACGCAUGACUCUGGAUCAUGUAAUCUUGGUUCGAGCCCAAGCCGGGCAGCCA
rnacentral:tRNA from 1 species